rnacentral:rRNA from 1 species
GACGAACGCUGGCGGCGUGCCUAAUACAUGCAAGUCGAGCGAACAGACGAGGAGCUUGCUCCUCUGACGUUAGUGGCGGACGGGUGAGUAACACGUGGAUAACCUACCUAUAAGACUGGGAUAACUACGGGAAACCGGAGCUAAUACCGGAUAAUAUAUUGAUCCGCAUGGUUUAAUAGUGAAAGACGGUUUUGCUGUCACUUAUCGAUGGAUCCGCGCCGCAUUGGCUAGUUGGUAAGGUAACGGGUUACCAAGGCAACGUUGCGUAGCCGACCGGCGAGAGGGGUCGACGACACUGGAACGUGAACACGGACAAGACUCCUAAGGGAGGCAGCAGAAGGAAACGUUCCGCAAUGGGCGAAAGCAUGACGAAGAAAGGCGGAGUGGGUGAUAAAGGUCUUCGGAUCGUAAAACUCUGUUAUUGGGGAAGAACAGAUGUGGAAGUAAAUAUGCACGUCGUGACGGUACCUAAUCAGAAAGCCACGGCUAACUACGUG